rnacentral:rRNA from 1 species
GACGAACGCUGGCGGCGUGCUUAACACAUGCAAGUCGAACGGAAAGGCCCUGCUUUUGUGGGGUGCUCGAGUGGCGAACGGGUGAGUAACACGUGAGUAACCUGCCCUUGACUUUGGAAUAACUUCAGGAAACUGGGGCUAAUACCGGAUAGGAGCUCCUGCUGCAUGGUGGGGGUUGGAAAGUUUCGGCGGUUGGGGAUGGACUCGCGGCUUAUCAGCUUGUUGGUGGGGUAGUGGCUUACCAAGGCUUUGACGGGUAGCCGGCCUGAGAGGGUGACCGGCCACAUUGGGACUGAGAUACGGCCCAGACUCCUACGGGAGGCAGCAGUGGGGAAUAUUGCACAAUGGGCGGACGCCUGAUGCAGCAACGCCGCGUGCGGGAUGACGGCCUUCGGGUUGUAAACCGCUUUCGCCUGUGACGAAGCGUGAGUGACGGUAAUGGGUAAAGAAGCACCGGCUAACUACGUG